rnacentral:rRNA from 1 species
UAGGGAAUCUUCCACAAUGGGCGAAAGCCUGAUGGAGCAACGCCGCGUGUGUGAUGAAGGCUUUAGGGUCGUAAAGCACUGUUGUAUGGGAAGAAAUGCUAGAAUAGGGAAUGAUUCUAGUUCGACGGUACCAUACCAGAAAGGGACGGCUAAAUACGUGCCAGCAGCCGCGGUAAUACGUAUGUCCCGAGCGUUAUCCGGAUUUAUUGGGCGUAAAGCGAGCGCAGACGGUUGAUUAAGUCUGAUGUGAAAGCCCGGAGCUCAACUCCGGAAUGGCAUUGGAAACUGGUUAACUUGAGUGUUGUAGAGGUAAGUGGAACUCCAUGUGUAGCGGUGGAAUGCGUAGAUAUAUGGAAGAACACCAGUGGCGAAGGCGGCUUACUGGACAACAACUGACGUUGAGGCUCGAAAGUGUGGGUAGCAAACAGGAUUAGAUACCCUGGUAGUCCACACCGUAAACGAUGAAUACUAGGUGUUAGGAGGUUUCCGCCUCUUAGUGCCGAAGCUAACGCAUUAANUAUUCCGCCUGGGGAGUACGACCGCANGGUUG